CCUACGGGUGGCAGCAGUGGGGAAUAUUGGGCAAUGGGGGCAACCCUGAUCCAGCCAUGCCGCGUGUGUGAAGAAGGCCCUCGGGUUGUAAAGCACUUUCAGUGAGGAAGAACGCCUGGUGGUUAAUACCCAUCAGGAAAGACAUCACUCACAGAAGAAGCACCGGCUAACUCCGUGCCAGCAGCCGCGGUAAUACGGAGGGUGCGAGCGUUAAUCGGAAUUACUGGGCGUAAAGCGCGCGUAGGUGGCUUGAUAAGCCGGUUGUGAAAGCCCCGGGCUCAACCUGGGAACGGCAUCCGGAACUGUCAAGCUAGAGUGCAGGAGAGGAAGGUAGAAUUCCCGGUGUAGCGGUGAAAUGCGUAGAGAUCGGGAGGAAUACCAGUGGCGAAGGCGGCCUUCUGGACUGACACUGACACUGAGGUGCGAAAGCGUGGGUAGCAAACAGGAUUAGAUACCCUAGUAGUC
rnacentral:rRNA from 1 species